rnacentral:rRNA from 1 species
GACGAACGCUGGCGGCGUGCCUAAUACAUGCAAGUAGAACGCACAGUUUAUACCGUAGCUUGCUACACCAUAGACUGUGAGUUGCGAACGGGUGAGUAACGCGUAGGUAACCUGCCUGGUAGCGGGGGAUAACUAUUGGAAACGAUAGCUAAUACCGCAUAAUAUUGAUUAUUGCAUGAUAAUUGAUUGAAAGAUGCUAUUGCAUCACUACCAGAUGGACCUGCGUUGUAUUAGCUAGUAGGUGAGGUAACGGCUCACCUAGGCGACGAUACAUAGCCGACCUGAGAGGGUGAUCGGCCACACUGGGACUGAGACACGGCCCAGACUCCUACGGGAGGCAGCAGUAGGGAAUCUUCGGCAAUGGACGAAAGUCUGACCGAGCAACGCCGCGUGAGUGAAGAAAGUUUUCGGAUCGUAAAGCUCUGUUGUAAGAGAAGAACGGGUGUGAGAGUGGAAAGUUCACACUGUGACGGUAUCUUAACAGAAAGGGACGGCUAACUACGUG